CCUACGGGAGGCAGCAGUGAGGAAUAUUGGUCAAUGGGCGAAAGCCUGAUGGAGCAACGCCGCGUGGGUGAAGAAGGUCUUCGGAUCGUAAAACCCUGUUGUUAGAGAAGAAAGUGCGUGAGAGUAACUGUUCACGUUUCGACGGUAUCUAACCAGAAAGCCACGGCUAACUACGGGCCAGCAGCCGCGGUAAUACGUAGGUGGCAAGCGUUGUCCGGAUUUAUUGGGCGUAAAGGGAACGCAGACGGUCUUUUAAGUCUGAUGUGAAAGCCUUCGGCUUAACCGGAGUAGUGCAUUGGAAGCUGGGAGACUUGAGUGCAGAAGAGGAGAGUGGAACGCCAUGUGUAGCGGUGAAAGGCGUAGAUAUAUGGAAGAACACCAGUGGUGAAAGCGGCUCUCUGGUCUGUAACUGACGCUGAGGUUCGAAAGCGUGGGUAGCAAACAGGAUUAGAUACCCGUGUAGUC
rnacentral:rRNA from 1 species